rnacentral:rRNA from 1 species
AUUGAACGCUGGCGGCGUGCCUAAUACAUGCAAGUCGAACGCAGUGGGGACGGGUGAGUAACACGUGGGUAACCUCCCAUCAGAGGGGAUAACACUUGGAAAAAGGUGCUCAAACGAUAUUUAUGGAUGGACCCGCGGUGCAUUGGCUAGUUGGUGAUGUAACGGCGCACCAAGGCCACGAUGCAUAGCCGACCGGAGAGGGUGAUCGGCCACACUGGGACUGAGACACGGCCCAGACUCCUACGGGAGGCAGAAGUAGGGAAUCUUCGGCAAUGGACGAAAGUCUGACCGAGCAACGCCGCGUGAGUGAAGAAGGUUUUCGGAUCGUAAAACUCUGUUGUUAGAGAAGCGGUAUCUAACCAGAAAGCCACGGCUAACUACGUGCCAGCAGCCGCGGUAAUUC